rnacentral:rRNA from 1 species
CCCUGGUUGAUCCUGCCAGUAGUUAUAUGCUUGUCUCAAAGAUUAAGCCAUGCAUGUCUCAGUGCAAGCCGUAUUAAGGCGAUACCGCGAAUGGCUCAAUAUAUCAGUUUUGGUUCCUUAGAUCUUACUCAGUUACUUGGAUAACUGUGGUAAUUCUAGAGCUAAUACAUGCAAUCAGAACUCUGACCAGUGAUGGGAUGAGUGCUUUUAUUAGAUCAAAACUAAUCGACGGAUGGCCAUGUGUCUGAAGUCGUUAAUUUUGAUGAAUCUGGAUAACUUUUGCCGAUCGCAUGGUCCAGUACCGGCGACGCAUCUUUCAAAUGUCUGCCUUAUCAACUUUCGAUGGUAGUUUCUGCGACUACAAUGGUUGUCACGGGUAACGGGGAAUCAGGGUUCGAUUCCGGAGAGGGAGCCCGAGAAACGGCUACCACAUCCAAGGAAGGCAGCAGGCGCGCAAAUUACCCACUCCCGGCACGGGGAGGUAGUGACGAAAAAUAACGAUACGGGACUCUUACGAGGCCUCGUAAUCGGAAUGAGUACACUUUAAAUAUUUUAACGAGGAACAAUUGGACCGCGGCGCACGACGAUAUAUAAAAUGUGUUCGAUGUUCGUUUUAGGGUUCUGAACCUCCCGAGCAAAUCCGUAAAAGAUCACUUUGUUGUCAGUCACUAAUUAGUACGUCUUUUAAUUCAGAAAAAUAAGGAGGUCCCUAAAAAUAGCGGCGGCAUUUUUCAAAUUGAAACAUUUUCAAAAGUUAUCAAGUAUAAAAUAAGCUCGAUGUGCACAUUAUCUUACGUACAGAACUCGUGGGGCCAAUCCGACUCGCCCUUGCUCAGUUAUUGCUUGAAACUAGCAGCUGCUUACGACUCCGUCCGCGAAGACAGUUUAGUUAACAACGCGCAACGCGCGGUAGUUCCCGGUUCCGUAGGAAUACUGGCCGGGGUGUACUGAAGCGAAACCUCUCUUUCAAAUCAAAAUACCGAAAAUUAAAAGACUGAGCACGAAUUUCAUUAUUUUCAACAAACAAGAAUAUUGAAGCAAAGUUUUAAAGCCGUACUGCGCGCAUA